GAUGAAGAACGUAGCGAAAUGCGAUACGUAAUGUGAAUUGCAGAAUUCAGUGAAUCAUCGAGUCUUUGAACGCACAUUGCGCCCCCUGGUAUUCCGGGGGGCAUGCCUGUCCGAGCGUCAUUGCUGCCCUCAAGCACGGCUUGUGUGUUGGGCCUCCGUCCUCCUCCCGGGGGACGGGCCCGAAAGGCAGCGGCGGCACCGCGUCCGGUCCUCGAGCGUAUGGGGCUUCGUCACCCGCUCUUGUAGGCCCGGCCGGCGCUUGCCGAGACAUCAAUCUUUUUUCCAGGUUGACCUCGGAUCAGGUAGGGAUACCCGCUGAACUUAAGCAUAUCAAUAAGCCGGAGGA
rnacentral:misc_RNA from 1 species